CCUUGAGAGAGAGAGAGAGAAGUAAACUGAAAAAAAAAAAAAAAAAAAAACUUAACCUUUGUAGCCAUCUGAUCCGAGCUCGACUCCUUAAAAUGGCGGCUAAUGUUAACGAUUGUCUGAACUCAUCUUUCGGAUGUGCAGCUGGGAAAAAUUUCCUAGAGCAAGGUAACACAAAUUCGCCGCUGAAUUUUCUCAUCCUUCAAUUUGAUUCACUCGAUUCUGAUAUCAUUCAAUUAGUUGAAAAUUUUUCAACUGAUUCUCUGAUAUCAUUCUCAUAAGCGUCUCACAAAAUUAAAGAAUGAAUUGGUUUCAACGUAAAAUUUAUUUAUAUAAUGUCACUUUCGGACUCUACAUGCUCGACUGGUGGGAACGUUGCCUCUUCAAUAUCUUGGUGGUCGUUUUGAUGUGGUUUGUUUUCUACAAUGGCUUCCGAUAUUUUGCCGAGUUUUGUAGAAGGGAACUGUUGUGCAACACAGGAAUUGCAAGAACUUUUAGCACCAGCUGUAACUUUAAAUGAGUAUGUCUUAAAGUGCGUGAAGUUGCGUUUUAUGUUUUCUUCACCGCAGCCUAAAUUGCCAAUUUGCCAUUGUAUGUUUCAGUUACAGCUUAAACAUAAUUGCUUCUUUUGAUGUUGAAACUCAUACGAUAUUUUCCUUAAUAUUUCGUAUUUGGAACGAAAAUUUUCUGCGA